rnacentral:lncRNA from 1 species
UCCUACUGGCGCAACUCGCUGGUGAUCCGGGCGCUCACCCUGCUGCGCGUGGCGCCCAAGGGCGUCUCCGAGGUGCACGAGAUGCUGUACGAGACGGCGCAUCACCUCACCCGCGGCGGCGAGACCGGCAUCUUCACCCCAAUGCACAUGGUGCUGCUCCGCAAGCCGGCCGCCGCCGCCGAAUAGACAGUAGCAUCACAUGCGCAAGAAUGCAGCAGCGAGUCCUAGCUCUUGCCGCGGGCAGCUAGGAGCGGAAUCAGACGAGGAAAUGCAGCUCUUGGUUUUGAUCUUAGCAUGGAUGAAUUCUUCUGUUCUUAGACAUUCUUCUUGUUCUUAGACUGAGACUGUUAAUUAGUUCCGGGGAGCUCGGUAUCACCCGAAAUCCCCACUUUAUAUUUUCCCUGUUUAUUAAUAUGUGGAAGAAUCGAUCUGUUUAUCUUGAAGCAAACAUUGGAUUGGAGGACUCGUCCCUCACCGACUCACCGUCUGCUCCAUUCUGGCUUUGCUGCGAGUUCGUUGUGUU